AGGGAUUGCCUUAGUAGCGGCGAGUGAAGCGGCAAAAGCUCAAAUUUGAAAUCUGGCACUUUCAGUGUCCGAGUUGUAAUUUGAAGAAGGUAUCUUUGGGUCUGGCUCUUGUCUAUGUUUCUUGGAACAGAACGUCACAGAGGGUGAGAAUCCCGUGCGAUGAGAUGUCCCAGACCUAUGUAAAGUUCCUUCGAAGAGUCGAGUUGUUUGGGAAUGCAGCUCUAAGUGGGUGGUAAAUUCCAUCUAAAGCUAAAUAUUGGCGAGAGACCGAUAGCGAACAAGUACAGUGAUGGAAAGAUGAAAAGAACUUUGAAAAGAGAGUGAAAAAGUACGUGAAAUUGUUGAAAGGGAAGGGCUUGAGAUCAGACUUGGUAUUUUGUAUGUUACUCUCUCGGGGGUGGCCUCUAMAGUUUACCGGGCCAGCAUCAGUUUGAGCGGUAGGAUAAGUGCAAAGAAAUGUGGCACUGCUUCGGUAGUGUGUUAUAGUCUUUGUCGAUACUGCCAGCUUAGACUGAGGACUGCGGCUUCGGCCUAGGAUGUUGGCAUAAUGAUC
rnacentral:rRNA from 1 species